UUGAACGCUGGCGGCAGGCCUAACACAUGCAAGUCGAGCGGUAGCACAGAGAGCUUGCUCUCGGGUGACGAGCGGCGGACGGGUGAGUAAUGUCUGGGAAACUGCCUGAUGGAGGGGGAUAACUACUGGAAACGGUAGCUAAUACCGCAUAACGUCGCAAGACCAAAGUGGGGGACCUUCGGGCCUCAUGCCAUCAGAUGUGCCCAGAUGGGAUUAGCUAGUAGGUGGGGUAACGGCUCACCUAGGCGACGAUCCCUAGCUGGUCUGAGAGGAUGACCAGCCACACUGGAACUGAGACACGGUCCAGACUCCUACGGGAGGCAGCAGUGGGGAAUAUUGCACAAUGGGCGCAAGCCUGAUGCAGCCAUGCCGCGUGUGUGAAGAAGGCCUUCGGGUUGUAAAGCACUUUCAGCGGGGAGGAAGGCGGUGAGGUUAAUAACCUCAUCGAUUGACGUUACCCGCAGAAGAAGCACCGGCUAACUCCGUGCCAGCAGCCGCGGUAAUACGGAGAGUGCAAGCGUUAAUCGGAAUUACUGGGCGUAAAGCGCACGCAGGCGGUCUGUCAAGUCGGAUGUGAAAUCCCCGGGCUCAACCUGGGAACUGCAUUCGAAACUGGCAGGCUAGAGUCUUGUAGAGGGGGGUAGAAUUCCAGGUGUAGCGGUGAAAUGCGUAGAGAUCUGGAGGAAUACCGGUGGCGAAGGCGGCCCCCUGGACAAAGACUGACGCUCAGGUGCGAAAGCGUGGGGAGCAAACAGGAUUAGAUACCCUGGUAGUCCACGCCGUAAACGAUGUCGAUUUGGAGGUUGUGCCCUUGAGGCGUGGCUUCCGGAGCUAACGCGUUAAAUCGACCGCCUGGGGAGUACGGCCGCAAGGUUAAAACUCAAAUGAAUUGACGGGGGCCCGCACAAGCGGUGGAGCAUGUGGUUUAAUUCGAUGCAACGCGAAGAACCUUACCUGGUCUUGACAUCCACAGAACUUUCCAGAGAUGGAUUGGUGCCUUCGGGAACUGUGAGACAGGUGCUGCAUGGCUGUCGUCAGCUCGUGUUGUGAAAUGUUGGGUUAAGUCCCGCAACGAGCGCAACCCUUAUCCUUUGUUGCCAGCGGUUAGGCCGGGAACUCAAAGGAGACUGCCAGUGAUAAACUGGAGGAAGGUGGGGAUGACGUCAAGUCAUCAUGGCCCUUACGACCAGGGCUACACACGUGCUACAAUGGCAUAUACAAAGAGAAGCGACCUCGCGAGAGCAAGCGGACCUCAUAAAGUAUGUCGUAGUCCGGAUUGGAGUCUGCAACUCGACUCCAUGAAGUCGGAAUCGCUAGUAAUCGUAGAUCAGAAUGCUACGGUGAAUACGUUCCCGGGCCUUGUACACACCGCCCGUCACACCAUGGGAGUGGGUUGCAAAAGAAGUAGGUAGCUUAACCUUCGGGAGGGCGCUUACCACUUUGUGAUUCAUGACUGGGGUG
rnacentral:rRNA from 1 species